rnacentral:rRNA from 1 species
UAGUCAUACGCUCGUCUCAAAGAUUAAGCCAUGCAUGUCUAAGUAUAAACAACUUUGUACUGUGAAACUGCGAACGGCUCAUUAUAUCAGCAAUUAUUUAUUUGAUGGUUUCUUACUACAUGGAUAACCGUAGUAAUUCUAGAGCUAAUACAUGCGUAAAGUCCCGACUCUCGCGGGGAGGGAUGUAUUUAUUAGAUUAAAAGCCAAUGCGGGUUUCGGCCCGGUAUUGUGGUGAGUCAUAGUAACUUUUCGAAUCGCAUGGCUUCACGCCGGCGAUAGUUCAUUCAAAUUUCUGCCCUAUCAGCUUUCGACGGUAGUGUAGUGGACUACCGUGGCAUUCACGGGUGACGGAGAAUUAGGGUUCGAUUCCGGAGAGGGAGCCUGAGAAACGGCUACCACAUCUAAGGAAGGCAGCAGGCGCGUAAAUUACCCAAUCCUGACUCAGGGAGGUAGUGACAAGAAAUAACGGACCGAGGCCUUCGGGCUUCGGGAUUGCAAUGAGCCGAAUUUACACCCCUUAGCGAGGAUCGAUU